CGCAAAACGUUAGUAUCAUGGAGAUAGGAAAUAGAAUGAUGGUUACCAGAAGCAGAGAAGGGUGUGGCAGAGAGGAUGAGAGAAGUUGAUUAAUGGAUACAAACAUAUGGUUAGAUAUACGGAAUAACUUCUAGUGUUCAAUAGGACAGCAGGGUGAUUAUAGUUAACAAUAUUUUAUUGUGUAUUUUAAAAUAGCUAGAAGAGAUGAGAUUUGGAAUGCUUCCAGC